rnacentral:rRNA from 1 species
AUUGAACGCUGGCGGCAGGCCUAACACAUGCAAGUCGAGCGGAGCGGCGGACGGGUGAGUAAUGCCUAGGAAUCUGCCUGGUAGUGGGGGAUAAAGUCCGGAGACGGGCGCUACUACCGCAUACUAUCAGAUGAGCCUAGGUCGGAUUAGCUAGUUGGUGGGGUAAAGGCCUACCAAGGCGCCGAUCCGUAACUGGUCUGAGAGGAUGAUCAGUCACCCUGGAACGGAGACACGGUCCAGACUCCUCCGUCAAGAAGCAAUUGAGAAUAUUUAACAAUGAACGAAAGCCUGAUCCAGCCAUGCCGCGUGUGUGAAGAAUUUCUUCGGAUUUUAACGCACUUUAAGUUGGGAGGCGUUACCAACAGAAUAAGCACCGGCUAACUUCGUGCCAGCAGCCGCGGUAAUUC